GAAAGGUUUCCUUCAAAUAAAACUUCUCUUCCAAACUAAGAUCAAUGAUCAAAUAUGUAGAACAAUAUUUUUUCAAUUUAAUUCAUCUCAGCGAGCAUUGGAACUCAUCGGGUGAAAAAAUUGGUGAAUAUUUUGGAAGCGGUUAUGUGACUACCAACUGCAAGAAAGCAACCAGACAGACCACCAAAUAAUGAUCGUAAGAAGGGAUUCAAUGAAGAAAGAUGCAAGAGAAGUAAAGUCACUUGUAGUAAAUGUGGUACAACCAAGCAUAACAAGAAAGUUUGCCCAAAUUGCCGGAUCAAGCUCAAGUAUAGUAUUUUUUAUUUUUUUUACUUAAAACAUUAUGUAAUUGGAACUUUUAGUUUUAUGUUGGUAAGAUGAAUUAUAUGAUAAAAAAAAAUUCAUGUUUGCGA